UGAGGCUCUGAUUUCCCAGUUGAAAUCAUAUGUUGAUUUUAUUUUUUCCAAUGUAAGUCAAAGAUUUACUAUUAAAAAUCCUGGGGAUGAGGUCUUAACACAGAAAACCCAUCUGUCGUCGCUACAGAGGACUACUAUGAAGAAAGCGCCUGGCAUAAUCUUGGCACAUCGAAGGCAUUCAAAAAAUACCAGUCGUCUCUCUUCACUCCCUCUAACUCUAACUCAUUUUAACCUCAUUUAAACUUUGAGGAAAAAGAACUCAAGGUCAGACAAGGCUUGGUUCAACACCCUGAGCUGGGUUGGCUUGACAGGACUAGCACUAGACCUGACCCAGAGGUAAAGGCAAUUGUGGGAAGAGCGGACGGACCUGGGAAGAAAUCUAGAAGCCAACGAGCAGAACACCAAAGCUUGUCACUGGGCAACAGAGAACUGGUCCAACAAAGCUGUCACCAUCAGAAAUGUGUGUCACCAGGUCAGAGAAACAGGAAAUCAAGGCAGGUAACGGGAGACAAAAUCAAGGAAAGUCAGUUGGCAAAAGGGCCCAGGACACGAGUCUGGAACUCGGGUAACUGAAAGAAUAGGAAGUACUAGAGACAGAAAGAAAAGCCUAAACCUGAAAGGUGUACAAGACAAGUUACUAAACCAGGGGUUCUGGACAAAGGAAUAAGGCAAAGGACUACAAGGUCCUGGCUAGCUGAGCAUCAGAUAUGAGGAAUAAAACAUUGGCCUGGGAGAAGGGAAUAGGGAGUUACUGUUUAAUGGAUACAGAGUUUUAGCUGGGGAAGCUAAAAAAACUCUAUAGAUGGAUUCUGGCUAGUGAUGGUCGCUCAACAAUGUGAAUGUACUUAAUGCCACAGAACCGUAUACUUUAAAAUGUUAAGUCUUAUGCACAUUUUACCAAAAAACAAAAAAAAGUUUAAUGAGGGAAAAAAUGUUUUCCAGCUUCAUUGAUCUAAGCCACUGGGUCUCUUCAAUUUCCCUGAGAACAUUCCUAUGGUUUUCCAAAUCAUCACAACACAAAUAAUAUUCUUUUAGAUUGAACUUCCAGCAAGAAAUUAAUUUAAAUGUGAAUGCUAUUAUCCCUAUGGGGAAUAAGCAGUAGCCAGGGUUUGCAUCAGAACUGAGUUUGAUAUAGUCAUUUUUAUCUUAAAUGUAUAUGUAUGCAAGUGUGUAAUAUAUAUUAUUAUA
rnacentral:lncRNA from 1 species